rnacentral:rRNA from 1 species
CAAAAUCUAUUAGAUGCGACCAUAUCGUGUGGUUCCGUGUCUAUAAAUUUUUCAUGAUUUGACCUCAAAUCAGGUAGGAACACCCGCUGAACUUAAGCAUAUCAAUAAGCGGAGGAAAAGAAAAUAACAAUGAUUCCCCUAGUAACUGCGAGUGAAGAGGGACAAGCUCAAAUUUUAAAUCUAUCGGGUUUUACCUGAUCGAGUUGUAAUUUGAAGAAGCGUUUUCUGCGUAUUUGGUCAGCCUAAGUCCUAUUGAAUGAGGCAUCAUGGAGGGUGAUAAUCCCGUCCGGUUGAUCAUUUGCGUUUUACGAUACGCUUUCUAAGAGUCAAGUUGUUUGGGAUUGCAGCUUAAAAUGGGAGGUAAAUUUCUCCUAAGGCUAAAUAACGGCGAGAGACCGAUAGCGAACAAGUACCGUGAGGGAAAGAUGAAAAGAACUUUGAAAAGAGAGUUAAACAGUACGUGAAAUUGUUGAAAGGGAAACGAUUGAAGCCAGUCGUACCUUCGGGUAAUCAGCCUUUCGGGUGCGAUUCUGUGGAGUGUGAGGAGCUUAAACACCUUCAUGUUUUGCAUAUUCGUACUCUUGGGUGUACUUGCCCGUGUGGUUGGUUAACAUCAAUUUUGGUGGUCAUAAAAUGACUGGGGGAAUGUAGCUUCGAUCUUGUAUUGAAGUGUUAUAGCCUUCGGUAGAUGUGAUGAUCGAGAUUGAGGAUUGCAACGGAUACCCUUCGGGGCUACCUGUCUGGUCUCUGAUCGUUGCUCUGGUGCCGAAAGCUUGCUUACGGUUAUCAAAGUCGAUGGUCAAUAGGUUAGAACGGGUUAAAU